rnacentral:rRNA from 1 species
AACGAACGCUGGCGGCAUGCCUAACACAUGCAAGUCGAACGAGACCUUCGGGUCUAGUGGCGCACGGGUGCGUAACGCGUGGGAAUCUGCCCUUAGGUUCGGAAUAACUUCGGGAAACUGAAGCUAAUACCGGAUGAUGACGUAAGUCCAAAGAUUUAUCGCCUAAGGAUGAGCCCGCGUUGGAUUAGCUAGUUGGUGAGGUAAAGGCUCACCAAGGCGACGAUCCAUAGCUGGUCUGAGAGGAUGAUCAGCCACACUGGGACUGAGACACGGCCCAGACUCCUACGGGAGGCAGCAGUGGGGGAAUUUUUGGACAAAUGGGCGCAAGCCUGAUCCAGCAAUGCGCGUGCAGGAUGAAGG